UUGACAGAGGAGGAGAAAGACCUGUGUGUAUUGUUUGAUCACAAGAUGACUGUGAGCUGCCCAUGUGAUGUGUCUGUGAAAAAGAAUAAUGGGGUCCUGG